GAUGAACGCUGGCGGCGUGCCUAAUACAUGCAAGUCGAGCGAACGGACGCUGCGCUUGCUUCUCUGAUGUUAGCCGCGGACGUGUGUGUCACGUGUGUAUCGCCUACCUAUAAUACUGGGAUCACUUCGAGACACCGUAGCUAAUCCCAGAUAAUCUUUUGCACCGCAUUGUUCGAUGGUGAAAGUCGGUGUUUCUGUCUCUUCUCGCUGGAUCCGCGCUGCAUUAGCUAGUUGGUGAGUUAAAGGCUUACCAAGGCAACGAGGCAUAGCCGACCUGAGAGGCGGAUAGGCGACAUGGGAACGUGAACACGGUCAAUAGUACUAAGGGAGGGAGCAGAAGCGAAUCUGCGGCAAUGGGCGAAAGCAUGACGGAGCAACGCCGCGUGAGUGAUGGAGGCCUUCGGAGCGUAAAACCCUGUUAUUAGGGAAGAACAGAUGUGUAAGGAACUGAGGACAGCUUGACGGUAAUUAAUCAGAAAGCAACGGCUAACUACGUG
rnacentral:rRNA from 1 species